AAAUUGAAGAGUUUGAUCAUGGCUCAGAUUGAACGCUGGCGGCAGGCCUAACACAUGCAAGUCGAACGGUAACAGGAAACAGCUUGCUGUUUCGCUGACGAGUGGCGGACGGGUGAGUAAUGUCUGGGAAACUGCCUGAUGGAGGGGGAUAACUACUGGAAACGGUAGCUAAUACCGCAUAACGUCGCAAGACCAAAGAGGGGGACCUUCGGGCCUCUUGCCAUCGGAUGUGCCCAGAUGGGAUUAGCUAGUAGGUAGGGUAACGGCUCACCUAGGCGACGAUCCCUAGCUGGUCUGAGAGGAUGACCAGCCACACUGGAACUGAGACACGGUCCAGACUCCUACGGGAGGCAGCAGUGGGGAAUAUUGCACAAUGGGCGCAAGCCUGAUGCAGCCAUGCCGCGUGUAUGAAGAAGGCCUUCGGGUUGUAAAGUACUUUCAGCGGGGAGGAAGGGAGUAAAGUUAAUACCUUUGCUCAUUGACGUUACCC
rnacentral:rRNA from 1 species